rnacentral:rRNA from 1 species
CCCUUAGAUGUUCUGGGCCGCACGCGCGCUACACUGAUUCAUGCAACAAGUUUUGUCCUUGGCUGAUAGGCCUGGGUAAUCUUUGAACGUGAAUCGUGAUGGGGAUAGAUGAUUGCAAUUAUUCAUCUUCAACGAGGAAUUCCUAGUAAACGCAAGUCAUCAGCUUGCAUUGAUUACGUCCCUGCCCUUUGUACACACCGCCCGUCGCACCUACCGAUUGAAUGGUCCGGUGAAAUCUUCGGAUCUGAGAGAUGUCUGAUUAAUUUCGGACGCCUUUUGGAAAAGUUGUUUAAACCUUAUCAUUUAGAGGAAGGUGAAGUCGUAACA